UGGCGCCUGCGCGAUUCUCAGGCGCAGGGGCGGGCCGCGGUGGCGCGCGCACCGUGGGUCUCGCACCUGCCCUGGCUGAAGACCUGGGGCUGCGUGUCCUCGUGGCCUUCCCGCGGUGGGACAGUCGCUUCUUUCUUAAGGCACAAGCGGAGCAGGGGUAGAGAGAAGGGGAUAGAGAAUCAGAAGUGGACUCUUGGCUGACAACAGCUAGCCCGAUGAGUUUGAACUCAUGAACCGUGAGGUCAUGACCUGAGCCGAAGUCAGACCCUCAACCAGCUGAACCACUGAGGUGCCCCUGCAAUCCUGUUCUGCUGGAUAAGUCCUUGUACUUUACUCCUUUGCUGGCUUCUGCCUCACAUUUGCUAGUGCAAAAUGGAACCAAUAUCCUUUGGACUCUGAAAAAGAAUUGCUGCUUCAGUACCCAACUGGCUGAAAGAAGAGAGAAGACAUUAAGGAUCACAUGCAGUGAUCAAAACCAUUUUUACAAAACCAAGUAAAGCUCAACGAGUGGACUACAUCCGACUAUAAAAGCUUCUGCACAGCAAUAGAAAUAAUCACCAAAAUGAAAAGGCAACCUACAAAAUGGGAGAAAAUAUUUGCAAACCAUAUAUCUGAUAAGGAGUUAAUUUCCAAAAUAUAUAAAGAUCUCAUAUAACUGAAUAACAAAAAAUAACAACCCAAUAAAAAAAUGGGCAGAGGAACUGAAUAGGCAUUUUUCCUAAGAAGAGAUUCAUCUGAAUGCCAGCAGGUACAUGAAAAGAUACUCAACAUCACUAAUUAUCAGGGAAAUGUAAUCUUAACCACAAUGAGGUAUCACCUCACAACUGUUAGACUGUCUAUUAACAAAAGGACAAGAAAAUAACAACUAUUGUUGAGGAUGUGGAGAAAAGGGAACACUCAUGUACUGUAGGAGGGAACGUAACUGGUUUAGCCACUAUGGAAAACAGUGUGGAGGUUCCUCAAGAAAUUAAAAAUAGAAUUACCAUAUGAUCCAGCAAUCUCCCUUCUGAGUAUAUGUCCAAAGCAAAUAAAAAAAGGACAUAGGAAAGAUAUAUGAACUCCUAUGGUCACUGUAGUUGCAUUAUUCACACUAGCCAAGAUAUGGAAACAAUCUAUGUGUCAACAAAUGAAUGGAUAAAGGAGCUGUGGUUUAUAUAUAAAAUGGAAUAUUAUUCAGCCAUGAGAAAGAAGGAAAUCCUGCCAUUUGCAACAGGAUGGAUGGACCUCAAGGGCAACAUAAGUGAGACAAGGCAGACAGAAAAAGACAAAUAUUGUAUUCUAUCACUUAUAUGUGGAAUCUAAAAAGCUGAACUUGUAGAAACACCGUAGAGUGAUGGUUCAGGGCUGAGGCUGGAGGGACAGGGGAGAUACUAGUCAAAGAUAAAACCUGCAGUUAGAAGAUGAAUAAAAUCUGGAGGCUAUCGUGUUGUGCUAACAGUUAACAACACUAUUUAUAUACUUUAAAGUCGCUAAGACACUAGACCUUAAAUAUUUUCACCAUAUAAAAGAAAUGAUAAUUAUGUGACAUGAUGGAGGUGAUAGCUAAUGCCAUGGUGCUAAUCAUAGUACAGUAUGUAAAUAUAUCAAACCAACACUUGUACACUUUAAAAUUACACAAUGUAUAUACACCAAUUAUAGCUCAAUGGAAAAAAAAAUCUUUACAAUUUGAGAAAUGAACAAAAUAAAACAAGAUGGAAUUUAAAAGGUAAAUAUAAGGAUAUGAACUUGGAUAUAGAAAAACUUCGUAAGACUAGGAGGGAAGAAACAUGGCUUAAAAGGAGCUUAUGAAAAAUUCCAAGUGAUUUCAACUGGACAAUAAAUUAGGUAUUAAUCAACAGUAUUAUGUAAACAAAAUAGUUAAUGAAAACUUAGAAUGUAUUAAUAGAAACAUGCUUUCUAAAACAAGCUGGUGACAGGUCUUCUCUGGGCUGGUUAAAUGGUUAUGUUUAAUUCUGAUCAUCACAAGUUAAGAAAGAAAUUGAAAUAUGCUCAGAAGACUAGAAAGAGGACAGAAAUAAAAACCCUCAUAAAUGUCUCAUAAGAAUACUACUUUUAGAGCAAAGGUGUUUGCUCUAAUGAAGAAAAGACCAUCAGAAUCACACUUUUCGAAUAUCCGAAGUGACGUCAUGUGGGAAAGAAUAUAGAUCUGCUUUGUAAGAUCCCAAAUGUUAGAAGAUGGACUGACGAAUACGAGCAAUUAAGAGACUCUUGCUUCCAUAUAUGGAAAGUCUGUCUGAUGGUCAGAUGAGACCAUCAUUUACUUGUGAGGUUAGUAUCAAGCCAAGUAUUCUUCAGCAUUCAAAUGGAGGCUGGAGAACCCUUUGAAAGAGGUUGCUUUACAGAGGCUUCAAUUUUACCUGGAUGGUUAGACAGAAGAUAUCUUAAUUAUGAGAUUAUUGUUCCUGAAAUGGGCUGCCCAUGCUAACUACUCUCUUCAAAAUACAUUUGGGAAACAGAGGGGAGCCCUUGUUAUUAUCAAUUUCUACACUCUUAUAGACCCUACUGUCCGUGAGCAUUGAUUAAUAUUAUAUUAUAUUAAUAUUAUUCUUCAUCUUUUUAAUUUAUAUAUUGUUUCCCUUUAGAAUUGUAAAACUCUUAAGAGGAAAGAGAAAAAAAAUAUCUCAUAUAUAUUGGUUUCCCGGGAAUCUAGCGGUAAUUUCUAUCCAUAGUACAUGCAAAAUAAAUACUGCAUAUUUUGAUGGUGAAUAUGGGAGACUCCUCAGAUUAAAAAAAUAUUUUUCCCAAAGCAGAGAUUUCACAUUUUUACAUACAAUUCGUAUAGCUCUAAGACAUACUGUCAUGCUUGAACAGUGCUCUUUAUCCUUUCACAUAGUAUCCCUUCGGGAUCGACAGUAAUAGAAUAGUAUAUCAUUAUUACUGUAAAGGUCAAACAGAUUGACUAUGUAAAAUAACUUGGAACAAAUUUUUAUACAUAUAGCCAGCACUCAAUAAGUGACAGCUACUCUCAAGAUAAUACUGGAGAGGGCUGUUCCAGUGUUGCCAGAGAGCUGGUGUGGUGUGAUGUUUUCAGGCUACAGAUGUUGACGAUUUCCAUCACUAUCUUCUUGCUGAGAGAUCAUUUCUUACAGGGUGGGUGGUAAAGUUUUUGUAUCCAUUGGGUAGAAUCUUCCUAUCUCAGGGAUCUGCAUAAAGGCUUACUCAGUGAAGAAAGAAGACAAAUAGUCUAGUUUUCCAUUUCACCAUUAACACUGUAAUUUUUAUCACAUGUAAAUGAACGGAGUCUCAAGUGACUCAGAGUCCCCACAAUCAACUCCUUAUCCAACAAUCAAACUUCAUUAUAAUUGCAGCCAUCUUCUCAUGUUUAGUGAAAGCAUUCAGAUUUGCCAUAUAGUUGUUGAUUCAGUGUUUAGCCCCAAAAAGGUAUUUGCUAAAUAAGCCAAAGUUAUGAGGCCUUCCUUAGCACUGGGGUGGACAAGUAAGCAAUUCAACAUGGACAGACAUUUAUUCCUGGUUGUGAUGUAUUUUCCCCGUGAAGGAAAACAACUCACUCUUCAAUUUAAAAUUUCUGAUAACCACUCUGCUUCAGCUAAGCCUACAUUUAUUUGUGUAAUGGAGCAAGCUUUCAAAGUCA